rnacentral:tRNA from 1 species
GAGAAAUUAGUUAAUUUAUAAUAUUCGCUUGUCAUGCUUAAGUUGUCUUUUAGACAUUUCUCA